GUGGGGAAUAUUGGACAAUGGGGGGAACCCUGAUCCAGCCAUGCCGCGUGUGUGAAGAAGGCCUUUUGGUUGUAAAGCACUUUAAGCGAGGAGGAGUCUACCGAGAUUAAUACUCUUGGAUAGUGGACGUUACUCGCAGAAUAAGCACCGGCUAACUCUGUGCCAGCAGCCGCGGUAAUACAGAGGGUGCAAGCGUUAAUCGGAUUUACUUGGCGUAAAGCGUGCGUAGGUGGCCAAUUUAGUCAAAUGUGAAAUCUCCGAGCUUAACUUGGUAAUUGCAUUCGAUACUGGUUGGGUAGAGUAUGGGAGAGGAUGGUAGAAGACCAGGUGUAGCGGUGAAAUGCGUAGAGAACUGGAGGAUUACUGAUGGCGAAGGCAGCCAUCUGGCCUAAUACUGACACUGAGGUGCGAAAGCAUGGGGAGCAAACAGGAUUAGAAACCCCUGUAGUCC
rnacentral:rRNA from 1 species